GCCAUGGUGGUGCAACGGGUAAGCACUUGGCUGCUAACCAAAAGGUUGGUGGUUUGAACCCAACCAGUGGCU
rnacentral:tRNA from 1 species